rnacentral:rRNA from 1 species
UUGGUUAAGUUAGAAAGGGCGCACGGUGGAUGCCUUGGCACUAGGAGCCGAAGAAGGACGGGACUAACACCGAUAUGCUUUGGGGAGCUGUACGUAAGCGUUGAUCCAGAGAUUUCCGAAUGGGGGAACCCACUAUCUUUAGUCGGAUAGUAUCCUUACGUGAAUACAUAGCGUGAGGAAGGCAGACCCAGGGAACUGAAACAUCUAAGUACCUGGAGGAAGAGAAAGAAAAAUCGAUUUCCUGAGUAGCGGCGAGCGAAAUGGAAAGAGCCCAAACCAAGAAGCUUGCUUCUUGGGGUUGUAGGACACUCUAUACGGAGUUACAAAAGAAAGUUAUAAAUGAAGCGGUCUGGAAAGGCCCGCCAAAGACGGUAACAGCCCGGUAGUUGAAAUAGCUUUCCCUCCAGAGUGGAUCCUGAGUACGGCGGAACACGUGAAAUUCCGUCGGAAUCCGGGAGGACCAUCUCCCAAGGCUAAAUACUCCCUAGUGACCGAUAGUGAACCAGUACCGUGAGGGAAAGGUGAAAAGCACCCCGGAAGGGGAGUGAAACAGUUCCUGAAACCGUGUGCCUACAAGUAGUUAGAGCCCGUUAAUGGGUGAUAGCGUGCCUUUUGUAGAAUGAACCGGCGAGUUACGAUUUGUUGCAAGGUUAAGCGGAAAAAGCGGAGCCGUAGCGAAAGCGAGUCUGAAUAGGGCGCAUAAGUAACAGGUCGUAGACCCGAAACCAGGUGAUCUACCCAUGUCCAGGAUGAAGGUAAGGUAAUACUUACUGGAGGUCCGAACCCACGCACGUUGAAAAGUGCGGGGAUGAGGUGUGGGUAGCGGAGAAAUUCCAAUCGAACUUGGAGAUAGCUGGUUCUCUCCGAAAUAGCUUUAGGGCUAGCCUCGAGGUAAAGAGUCAUGGAGGUAGAGCACUGUUUGGACUAGGGGCCCUUCUCGGGUUACCGAAUUCAGAUAAACUCCGAAUGCCAUGUACUUAUACUCGGGAGUCAGACUGCGAGUGAUAAGAUCCGUAGUCGAAAGGGAAACAGCCCAGACCACCAGUUAAGGUCCCUAAAUAUAUGUUAAGUGGAAAAGGAUGUGGGGUUGCUUAGACAACCAGGAUGUUGGCUUAGAAGCAGCCACCAUUGAAAGAGUGCGUAAUAGCUCACUGGUCGAGUGACCCCGCGCCGAAAAUGUACCGGGGCUAAACAUAUUACCGAAACUGUGGAUGAACCUCUNCGGAAGGACUGGUGGAGCGCUUAGAAGUGAGAAUGCCGGUAUGAGUAGCGAAAGAAGGGUGAGAAUCCCUUCCACCGAAUAUCUAAGGUUUCCUGAGGAAGGCUCGUCCGCUCAGGGUUAGUCGGGACCUAAGCCGAGGCCGAUAGGCGUAGGCGAUGGACAACAGGUAGAGAUUCCUGUACCAGUGCUAAUUGUUUAACCAAUGGGGUGACACAGAAGGAUAGGGAAUCGCACGAAUGGAAAUGUGCGUCCAAGCAGUGAGUGUGAGAAGUAGGCAAAUCCGCUUCUCGCGAAGCAUGAGCUGUGAUGGGGAAGGAAAUUAAGUACGGAAGUUCCUGAUUUCACGCUGUCAAGAAAAGCCUCUAGGAAGAGUAGUACUGCCCGUACCGCAAACCGACACAGGUAGAUGAGGAGAGAAUCCUAAGGUGAGCGAGAGAACUCUCGUUAAGGAACUCGGCAAAAUGACCCCGUAACUUCGGGAGAAGGGGUGCUCUAUUAGGGUGCAAGCCCGAGAGAGCCGCAGUGAAUAGGCCCAGGCGACUGUUUAGCAAAAACACAGGUCUCUGCAAAACCGUAAGGUGACGUAUAGGGGCUGACGCCUGCCCGGUGCUGGAAGGUUAAGAGGAGUGCUUAGCUUCGGCGAAGGUACGAAUUGAAGCCCCAGUAAACGGCGGCCGUAACUAUAACGGUCCUAAGGUAGCGAAAUUCCUUGUCGGGUAAGUUCCGACCCGCACGAAAGGCGCAACGAUCUGGGCACUGUCUCAACGAGAGACUCGGUGAAAUUAUAGUACCUGUGAAGAUGCAGGUUACCCGCGACAGGACGGAAAGACCCCGUGGAGCUUUACUGCAACCUGAUAUGGAAUGUUUGUACCGCUUGUACAGGAUAGGUAGGAGCCGAAGAGACGUGUGCGCUAGCAUACGAGGAGGCAAUGGUGGGAUACUCCCCUGGCUGUAUGACCAUUCUAACCCGCCACGCUUAGCGCGUGGGGAGACAGUGUCAGGUGGGCAGUUUGACUGGGGCGGUCGCCUCCUAAAGAGNGGAGGCGCCCAAAGGUUCCCUCAGAAUGGAUGGAAAUCAUUCGCAGAGUGUAAAGGCACAAGGGAGCUUGACUGCGAGACUGACAAGUCGAGCAGGGACGAAAGUCGGGCUUAGUGAUCCGGUGGUUCCGCAUGGAAGGGCCAUCGCUCAACGGAUAAAAGCUACCCCGGGGAUAACAGGCUUAUCUCCCCCAAGAGUCCACAUCGACGGGGAGGUUUGGCACCUCGAUGUCGGCUCGUCGCAUCCUGGGGCUGUAGUCGGUCCCAAGGGGUGGGCUGUUCGCCCAUUAAAGCGGCACGCGAGCUGGGUUCAGAACGUCGUGAGACAGUUCGGUCCCUAUCCGUCGCGGGCGCAGGAAAUUUGAGAGGAGCUGUCCUUAGUACGAGAGGACCGGGAUGGACACACCGCUGGUGUACCAGUUGUUCCGCCAGGAGCAUCGCUGGGUAGCUAUGUGUGGCAGGGAUAAACGCUGAAAGCAUCUAAGCGUGAAGCCCCCCUCAAGAUGAGAUUUCCCAUUUCUUCGGAAAGUAAGAUCCCUGAAAGAUGAUCAGGUAGAUAGGUUUGGAGUGGAAGUGUAGCGAUACAUGGAGCGGACAAAUACUAAUCGAUCGAGGACUUAACCAAAA